AUUGAACGCUGGCGGCAUGCCUUACACAUGCAAGUCGAACGGCAGCACGGGAGCAAUCCUGGUGGCGAGUGGCGAACGGGUGAGUAAUAUAUCGGAACGUGCCCAGUCGUGGGGGAUAACGCAGCGAAAGCUGUGCUAAUACCGCAUACGAUCUACGGAUGAAAGCGGGGGAUCGCAAGACCUCGCGCGAUUGGAGCGGCCGAUAUCAGAUUAGGUUGUUGGUGGGGUAAAAGCCCACCAAGCCGACGAUCUGUAGCUGGUCUGAGAGGACGACCAGCCACACUGGAACUGAGACACGGUCCAGACUCCUACGGGAGGCAGCAGUGGGGAAUUUUGGACAAUGGGCGCAAGCCUGAUCCAGCAAUGCCGCGUGCAGGAUGAAGGCCUUCGGGUUGUAAACUGCUUUUGUACGGAACGAAACGGUCUGCUCUAAUACAGCGGGCUAAUGACGGUACCGUAAGAAUAAGCACCGGCUAACUACGUGCCAGCAGCCGCGGUAAUACGUAGGGUGCGAGCGUUAAUCGGAAUUACUGGGCGUAAAGCGUGCGCAGGCGGUUAUAUAAGACAGAUGUGAAAUCCCCGGGCUCAACCUGGGACCUGCAUUUGUGACUGUAUAGCUAGAGUGCGGCAGAGGGGGAUGGAAUUCCGCGUGUAGCAGUGAAAUGCGUAGAUAUGCGGAGGAACACCGAUGGCGAAGGCA
rnacentral:rRNA from 1 species